rnacentral:rRNA from 1 species
GUGCCAGCCGCCGCGGUAAAACGUAGGUCCCGAGCGUUAUCCGGAUUUACUGGGCGUAAAGCGUGUUCAGGCGGUCUAGCAAGUCGGGCAUGAAAUCUCUCGGCUCAACCGGGAGGGGUUGUCCGAUACUGCUGGGCUUGAGGGCAGCAGAGGGUGGUGGAAUUCCGGGUGUAGUGGUGAAAUGCGUAGAUAUCCGGAGGAACACCAGUGGCGAAGGCGGCCACCUGGGCUGUACCUGACGCUCCAACACGAAAGCUAGGGGAGCGAACGGGAUUAGAAACCCUGGUAGUCC